rnacentral:rRNA from 1 species
UACGUAGGGGGCAAGCGUUGUCCGGAUUUAUUGGGCGUAAAGAGCGUGUAGGCGGCCAGAUAGGUCCGUUGUGAAAACUCGAGGCUCAACCUCGAGACGCCGAUGGAAACCAUUUGGCUAGAGUCCGGAAGAGGAGAGUGGAAUUCCUGGUGUAGCGGUGAAAUGCGUAGAUAUCAGGAGGAACACCGGUGGUGUAGACGGCUUUCGUGGACCGUAACUGACGCUGAGACACGAAAGACGUGGGUAGCAAACAGG